ACCCGCCCCUGCACUCCAUAACGGGACUUUUCCGGCCACUCUUGUCUCCUCCGAACACAACAAACACACAAGAGGUUGGUGGAGCGGGGAGCUGCGGUCCCGCGGACCCGGCUUCGAGAAGAUUCCCAGCUCUCGCUCCCUCUCCUGCCGACCAUGGUUGUGAUCGCCAUUGCAAUCGCAGCCGCCUUUGGAUUUACAGUACUCGUCGCUGGAUUUACAAUUGUCGCCGUGGUAAACGGUAUGGGGAUGAGCAUGAGUGCAAGGGGGUCUCGCAGUGGAUCUUUUGACUUCUUUUUUGACGUUGGGGGAAACCAAAGCCAUCCUGGCAAGAAAGCUGAUUAACUGUACCAGUGAAGAGAAACAGAUUUGCUUCCUUCUAAGCAACCGUCUUCAUGUCUUCACACUGCAGAAACUGGAAAGUCUCUGCUGACCCCCAGCUGCCCCUCAAGCAGAUUGGGAUUGCCUUGAGCUAUAAAUGUUUUAAAGUUUAAUAAAAAUGCAUUGCUGGUGUGGAA